UGGCGGACGGGUGAGUAACGCGUGGGUAACCUGCCUUAUACAGGGGGAUAACAGUUAGAAAUGACUGCUAAUACCGCAUAAGCGCACAGGAUUGCAUGAUCUGGUGUGAAAAACUCCGGUGGUAUAAGAUGGACCCGCGUUGGAUUAGCUAGUUGGUGGGGUAACGGCCCACCAAGGCGACGAUCCAUAGCCGGCCUGAGAGGGUGAACGGCCACAUUGGGACUGAGACACGGCCCAGACUCCUACGGGAGGCAGCAUG
rnacentral:rRNA from 1 species